rnacentral:rRNA from 1 species
ACGGAAGGCAGCAGUAGGGGAUAUUGCACAAUGGGGGAAACCCUGAUGCAGCAACGCCACGUGUGGGAAGAAGCAUUUCGGUGUGUAAACCACUGUCGUGAGGGAAUAAUGCUUAAUUUCGGUUAAGUUGAAUGUACCUCGAAAGGAAGCACCGGCAAACUUCGUGCCAGCGGCCGCGGUGAUACGAGGGGUGCAAGCGUUGUUCGGAAUCACUGGGCGUAAAGGGAGCGCAGGCGGAGAUGCAAGCAGCCUGUACAAUACCGGGGCCCAACCCCGGACCUGCAGACUGGACUGUUGCUCUUGGAUAGUUCAGGGGCAAGCGGAAUUCCUGGUGUAGCGGUGGAAUGCGUAGAGAUCAGGAAGAACACCGAUGGCGAAGGCAGCUUGCUGGGGACUUAUCGACGCUCAUGCUCGAAAGUGCGGGUAGCAAACAGGAUUAGAUACCCUGGUA